rnacentral:rRNA from 1 species
UACAGAGGUCUCAAGCGUUGUUCGGAUUCAUUGGGCAUAAAGGGCGCGUAGGCUGCGGGGCAAGUCGGGUGUGAAAUCUCAGAGCUCAACUCUGAAACUGCACUCGAUACUGCUUUGCUUGAGGACUGGAGAGGAGAUUGGAAUUCACGGUGUAGCAGUGAAAUGCGUAGAUAUCGUGAGGAAGACCAGUGGCGAAGGCGGAUCUCUGGACAGUUCCUGACGCUGAGGCGCGAAGGCCAGGGGAGCAAACGGG